rnacentral:tRNA from 1 species
GGAGAGCUGGCCGAGCGGACGAAGGCGCACGAUUGGAAGUCGUGUGUGGGGCAACUCACCAUGGGUUCGAAUCCCAUGCUCUCCU